rnacentral:rRNA from 1 species
CGGGACACGUGGUAUCCUGUCUGAAUAUGGGGGGACCAUCCUCCAAGGCUAAAUACUCCUGACUGACCGAUAGUGAACCAGUACCGUGAGGGAAAGGCGAAAAGAACCCCGGCGAGGGGAGUGAAAAAGAACCUGAAACCGUGUACGUACAAGCAGUGGGAGCACGCUUAGGCGUGUGACUGCGUACCUUUUGUAUAAUGGGUCAGCGACUUAUAUUCUGUAGCAAGGUUAACCGAAUAGGGGAGCCGAAGGGAAACCGAGUCUUAACUGGGCGUUAAGUUGCAGGGUAUAGACCCGAAACCCGGUGAUCUAGCCAUGGGCAGGUUGAAGGUUGGGUAACACUAACUGGAGGACCGAACCGACUAAUGUUGAAAAAUUAGCGGAUGACUUGUGGCUGGGGGUGAAAGGCCAAUCAAACCGGGAGAUAGCUGGUUCUCCCCGAAAGCUAUUUAGGUAGCGCCUCGUGAAUUCAUCUCCGGGGGUAGAGCACUGUUUCGGCAAGGGGGUCAUCCCGACUUACCAACCCGAUGCAAACUGCGAAUACCGGAGAAUGUUAUCACGGGAGACACACGGCGGGUGCUAACGUCCGUCGUGAAGAGGGAAACAACCCAGACCGCCAGCUAAGGUCCCAAAGUCAUGGUUAAGUGGGAAACGAUGUGGGAAGGCCCAGACAGCCAGGAUGUUGGCUUAGAAGCAGCCAUCAUUUAAAGAAAGCGUAAUAGCUCACUGGUCGAGUCGGCCUGCGCG